rnacentral:rRNA from 1 species
GAUGAACGCUGACAGAAUGCUUAACACAUGCAAGUCAACUGUGGCGGACGGGUGAGUAACGCGUAAAGAACUUGCCUCACAGAUAGGGACAACAUUUGGAAACGAAUGCUAAUCCCUGAUACUGUGAGAGCGCUUUGCGUCCCAUUCGCUAGUUGGCGAGGUAACGGCUCACCAAGGCGAUGAUGGGUAGCCGGCCUGAGAGGGUGAUCGGGCACAAGGGGAAUGAGACACGGCCCGUACUACUACGGGAGGCAGCAGUGGGGAAGAUUGGACAAUGGACCAAAGUCUGAGCCAGAAAUUCUGUGUGCAAGAUGAAGUUUUCGGAAUGUAAAGUGCUUUCAGUUGGGAAGCAGUACCAACAGAAGAAGUGACGGCUAAAUACGUGCCAGCAGCCGCGGUAAUAC